UUAGCUUUUGAAUUGAAAUGACAUUAAGAUGUCCGCAAACUUUGCCGGCGAUGAAAUUUUAACGCACUUUGAGCCAGUUUGUUCGAGGAAACAUUACGUGGCGGGUCGCGGGCGUAUAUCAACAAUUAUCGUGCGCUCGCAACAAAUGGCGGAUGGCGCGGCGCGGUGUGUCCGGCGUGGCGCGGCAGUCGCGCGGGAAAAAUCGACGAUUAUUCCCUAUGUCCAGCCCCACCUAUUUGAAAUAGAUUGCCUAAAUCAGGAUGUACGUUGAAAAAAUCUCUUUUCAACAAUAGGUUACUACUGACUACUUACUUCUAGGUACUUUACGGUAACUGGACUUACGAAACUUGAGACGUAAUCACAUGAUCUCCAUGUGAUAAUAAUAACGUACAUUAUCGACUUCAAUAUUAAAAAAAAAAACAAAUCAAGAAUUUGCAGACGAAGACUAAUAAAACAAAUGCGAAUCGAUCUCAACAAAUCCAUUAGUUGUUAACUGGCUCGUUAUUUAUUGUAAAGUGGGUCGUCAGCGUAGUCUGUGCAUUGGAGUUAGUACUACAGUGAAUUUACGGUACGGAACAAUGGUGGACAAAUAGCCGCGAGCCCAGCUAUGUAUCAAUGCAGGCGUACUCCGCUCUACGCUACCAUUGUGUCGACAAAAUUGAAAGGUAUUCGUUAUUAACUGAGUUAUACUAUGUUAUUAAUUAUAUCACUUACUUAAGUAACUUAAAUUACUUACUUAAACUUGUGGACAAGUAUGUCAAGUAUCGAGUAUUUAUACCCUAGAUAUUGUAAAUCACAUAUCUUGAAAAAGCAGAAAAAUUUUCAAAGUUCUUUUUAUUAUUGUUAUGCCU